AUUCAGGAGACAUUUAGUUAUUUUAAUAAGCGAAAAUGUCUGCGAUUAUUAGUUUGCCAUAUCUUUAUUUUAUUUUUUAAAGUCCAGAUGAGCACCAACAAGGAUUGUUUGUGAGGAUGCGGGCAUCUCUAGCAAGGCCAGUAUUUACUGCCUACCCCAAAUGUCCAGGGGCAAUUAAACAUCAACCACGUUUCCAUGGAUCUGGAGUCACAUGUGGGCCAGACCAGGCCACCUUCAUUCUUCUUCAAAGAACAGCCAUAGAGCUGAAUUUUCUCAUAUUUUAGCCAAAUGAUGCCCAGAUGCUUCGACAAAGGAGGAGGAGCGUUACGUUUGAAAUGAUAGCACAGACCAGUGCCUGAGAAUUGGUUCCAGCAAGCCUGGGAGAGACAUUAUGCUCCAGCAGAUAGCAGAUUUUGAAAGGUAACUGGGACCAUCUAAGGAGAUGGUCAGUCUGACAGAGAGAGGCCAGAGUUUUGAAUUGCGUUUUGGAUGCUUUUUUUCUGGGAGGAGGAGUUUGGGUGUUGGUGAUACAGCAUGAAGAUUUGAGAGCUUCCUCCUAAACUUCCUUUUAUCAGUUGUUGAUGUUCAGAGAACAGAAACUAAGUUAUAAGUGUUAUUGUCUCUCUCUGAAUGAGUCAAAAAGGUAAGCCUGAUUGAAACCUUCAGAAAAGCAAGCAAGAAACAAUGAUCUAUGCUUGUGGAAUGAUUCAUCGUGAAAACCUCAAGUAAUCUGGCCAGUUCUUUUUUUAUAUAUAAUCAUUAACUAUUUUGUGCUCAUUGGUCUGAAAAUAAAGGUUCUUGGGUCUAAACAUGGACAAAAGUUAGAUUUAUUUGUUGUUUAAUUUAGCUCUGCUGAAGUUACUGUAUUGUUAAUAAAUUGUUAACUCUUUUGUUUA